rfam:Triticum aestivum genome assembly, contig: Triticum_aestivum_CS42_TGACv1_scaffold_221006_3B
UCUCAAUGAUGAUCAACACUGAUUAGAUGUCCGAUUCAAUCCAUUCAAAAACCAUGGGGACGAAAUGAGGCAUUUGUCUGAGAGAA